rnacentral:rRNA from 1 species
UACAGAGGUCCCAAGCGUUGUUCGGAUUCACUGGGCGUAAAGGGUGCGCAGGUGGGUUUGCAAGUUCGAUGUGAAAGCCCCGGGCUUAACCCGGGAAUGGCAUUGGAUACUGCAGAUCUGGAGGAUCGGAGGGAGGACUGGAAUUCUUGGUGUAGCAGUGAAAUGCGUAGAUAUCAAGAGGAACACCAGUGGCGAAGGCGAGUCCCUGGACGAUACCUGACACUGAGGCACGAAAGCUAGGGGAGCAAACAGG